CCACAAUCGGUUCGAAGAAGUAAAGACUUUAUAAUAUCACGUUUUGUUUAAGUUAUAAUUCCCGUUCUAAAAUCAACGCUCGCUCACAUGUUAUGUACUAUAUCCGAAGUGUCAAUCAAAUUGUACAUUUCCUUAAUAAUAUUAACACUACUGAUCUAUAAAUGUAACUGUAUAAACGUUCACGACACACUCCCCCUAUUUUAAAUAAUCCUUAUUUGAAAUAUAAACUGACUAAGUUUGACUAACUGUUGUUCGCUUUAUCAAGUCACUUACAGUUUUACUUAUACCCAUGCAAAGUUAUUAGUCACCGUCCUCUUCAGUCUCCUGCAUCUGAUGAAUAUUCCUUAAUGCUUCAACCGCUGCUCUUCGUUUUGGUCUAAACUCUCCGGCUUCGGGAUUCAGUUCUCCUUGAUUUUGUUUCUUCGCUUCACAGUGUAGCUCCAUUGGAUAUAGAAACUGAAUAGGUCUUUCGAGGUAACUUUUUCCUGCACGCAGUCUCACCGCUCUCACGAUUUCAUCUCUUCCAGGUAUUAGUUUGUCCACGAUUCCAAUCUUCCACUUGCCUCGGUUCUUUUCAUCGCCCUUGAUAAGAACUACAUCGCCUUCUUGCAAUCGUGCGCUUUUCCCGUGGUGUCGUAAAUCGUGUCUCUCUCGAAGUGCUCUCGUGUAUUCAUUUCGCCAACGACGCCAUAACGCAUCUUUACACUUCUUUAAAUGUUUUGCUCUCCUUCGUAGAUCGUCUUCUUCAAUUUCUUCGACAGGCAACUCUAAUACCGGGUGGCCCAAAAAAAGUACUCCUGUUUGAUUCGUAAUAACAUCUAAACAAGUAUAGCUUUUAAAGAGAAAUAACUUGCAUCAAAUAGAGGAAGGACUAACUUAGACUUUGAUAUAUUACAGUUGUAUUUCACUUAAAAAUUCACGGAGAUAUUAAUCUUUAAAUUCGGGAGGAUAUUUCUGGAUGUGUCCGAAAUAUGCAAAAAUCGGCGUAUCAAAUAUUAAUCAAGAUUUGCCCGACUGAAACAUGCACUAUUACCAGUAAAUAAAUGACACUUGACAAAUUGUUUAUUAUGAAACAAAGUAUUAUUAUAUCUAUUAAUCCUGCUCUAACCGAGAAAUAAUCAACUUUGUUUUGAA